rnacentral:tRNA from 1 species
GAGGGUAUAGCUCAAGCAAUAGAGUACAUGCUUAGCAUGCAUGAGGUCUUGGGUUCAAUCCCCAAUACUGCCU